rnacentral:rRNA from 1 species
GGUGAACGCUGGCGGUGUGCCUAAUACAUGCAAGUCGAGCGGCAAGACAAUAAGCUUUCUCUCUUACCGUUAGCGACUGGCGGGUGGGUAACACGUAGAUAGCCAUCUUCUUUUUCUGGGAUAACUUCGGGAGAACGGAGCUACUACUACCUCAUAUGUCCAACCGCAUGGUUCAAUAGUGCUUGACGCCUUUGCUGUCAGUUUUAGCUGGUUUCGGGCCGCAUUAGCUAGUUGGUAAGGUAACGGCCUACCAAGGCAACGAUGCGUAGCUGACCUGAGAGGAUGAUCGGCCACACUGGAACUGAGACACGGUCCAGACUCCUACGGGAGGCAGCAGUGGGGAAUAUUCGGCAAUGGGCGAAAGCCUGACGGAGCAACGCCGCGUGAGUGAAGAAGGUCUUCGGGUUGUAAAGCCCUGUUAUUAGGGAAGAACAAAUGUGGAAGAAACCAUGGAUGUCUUGACGGUACCUAAUCAGUAAGCCACGGCUAACUUCGUG